rnacentral:misc_RNA from 1 species
GCAAAGGUUAACGAUAACAAAUUCCAAUACUCUUAAGCCUCCUCUCUCCCAAAACAAGCUAAAAAUAGAAAUAGGUACAAGUAAAAGAUGAAAGUGUAAAAGGAGUUUAGUUGAUAACGAAGAAAAACACGAGCCAAAUAUGAUCUCUCCUGUGGCUGGCUGACUUAACUAAUUGUUGCAACCAAUGCUAUUGAAGUCAAAGAAUAAAGAUAAGCCACACUAAUAUUACCAGUCGCCCGUUUGUCUGUCCAACCCCUCGGCUGUCUUCUUUUCUUUCAGCCUUUAUUUCCUCAAUGACACUAGGAUAUGGAUUAGAAGGUAGUCGUUUACCCCGAGGACGGGAAUUUGCAUCAAUCUAGCAUAUGGCUUCAAUUUUGCCCUUUUCUUCUCUGUCAGAAUUCCAUCUAGGCACCAAAAAAACCAUUGCAGAUCAAAAUUAGCAGUGAGAGAGAGAAGCUUCAAACUGCAAAGCCAUGUGCCUAUAUGAGAGAAUAAAGGCUUCAAACUGAAAAAAUAAGUUACUUUCCAAUUCACCCCACUGCAAUUUAAUGGAUUAAUUGAUAACUGCAGUUUGAUAAUAAAAAAAAAAAG